rnacentral:rRNA from 1 species
GACGAACGCUGGCGGCGUGCUUAACACAUGCAAGUCGAACGGUAAGGCCCUUUCGGGGGUACACGAGUGGCGAACGGGUGAGUAACACGUGGGUGAUCUGCCCUGCACUUUGGGAUAAGCCUGGGAAACUGGGUCUAAUACCGGAUAGGACUACGCGAUGCAUGUUGUGUGGUGGAAAGCUUUUGCGGUGUGGGAUGGGCCCGCGGCCUAUCAGCUUGUUGGUGGGGUGAUGGCCUACCAAGGCGACGACGGGUAGCCGGCCUGAGAGGGUGUCCGGCCACACUGGGACUGAGAUACGGCCCAGACUCCUACGGGAGGCAGCAGUGGGGAAUAUUGCACAAUGGGCGCAAGCCUGAUGCAGCGACGCCGCGUGGGGGAUGACGGCCUUCGGGUUGUAAACCCCUUUCAGCACAGACGAAGCGUAAGUGACGGUAUGUGCAGAAGAAGCACCGGCCAACUACGUG